AGGUUAGUGCAAUGGCAUAAGCCAGCUUGACUGCGAGCGUGACGGCGCGAGCAGGUGCGAAAGCAGGUCAUAGUGAUCCGGUGGUUCUGAAUGGAAGGGCCAUCGCUCAACGGAUAAAAGGUACUCCGGGGAUAACAGGCUGAUACCGCCCAAGAGUUCAUAUCGACGGCGGUGUUUGGCACCUCGAUGUCGGCUCAUCACAUCCUGGGGCUGAAGUAGGUCCCAAGGGUAUGGCUGUUCGCCAUUUAAAGUGGUACGCGAGCUGGGUUUAGAACGUCGUGAGACAGUUCGGUCCCUAUCUGCCGUGGGCGCUGGAGAACUGAGGGGGGCUGCUCCUAGUACGAGAGGACCGGAGUGGACGCAUCACUGGUGUUCGGGUUGUCAUGCCAAUGGCACUGCCCGGUAGCUAAAUGCGGAAGAGAUAAGUGCUGAAAGCAUCUAAGCACGAAACUUGCCCCGAGAUGAGUUCUCCCUGAGACUUAAAGUCUCCUGAAGGAACGUUGAAGACGACGACGUUGAUAGGCCGGGUGUGUAAGCGCAGCGAUGCGUUGAGCUAACCGGUACUAAUGAACCGUGAGGCUUAACCUUACAACGCCGAAG
rnacentral:rRNA from 1 species